AGAAUCAACGCUGGCGGCGUGCCUAACACAUGCAAGUCGAACGAGAAAGUGGAGCAAUCCAUUAGUAAAGUGGCGCACGGGUGAGUAACACGUGACUAACCUACCUUUUAGUGGGGGAUAACCUAGGGAAACCUGGGCUAAUACCGCAUAAUACCUACGGGUCAAAGCAGCAAUGCGCUUGGAGAGGAGUUCGCGGCCGAUUAGCUAGUUGGCGGGGUAAUGGCCCACCAAGGCGAUGAUCGGUAUCCGGCCUGAGAGGGCGCACGGACACACUGGAACUGAAACACGGUCCAGACUCCUACGGGAGGCAGCAGUGGGAAAUUUUGCGCAAUGGGGGAAACCCUGACGCAGCAACGCCGCGUGGAGGAUGAAAUCCCUUGGGAUGUAAACUCCUUUCGAUAGGGAAGAUAAUGACGGUACCUAUAGAAGAAGCCCCGGCUAACUUCGUGCCAGCAGCCGA
rnacentral:rRNA from 1 species